UACGUAGGGUGCAAGCGUUAUCCGGAAUUAUUGGGCGUAAAGCGAUCACAGGUGGACAAGCAGGUCUGGUGUUAAAUACCCACGGCUCAACCGGGGUGCCGCAUUGGAAACCGCUUGACUAGAGGGAGGCAAAGGCAGGUGGAAUUUCCAUUGUAGGGGUUAAAUCCGUAGAUAAUGGAAGGAACACCAAAAGCGAAGGCAGCCUGCUGGGCCUUUCCUGACACUGCUUGAUCGAAAGCGUGGGGAGCAAAAGGG
rnacentral:rRNA from 1 species